rnacentral:pre_miRNA from 1 species
UUUUAACCUGAUCACUAGAUUAUCUACUAGGGAAUUUUUUUAAUUUUUAAAAUUCCCUUGUAGAUAACCCGGUGGUCAGGUUGGAU